rnacentral:lncRNA from 1 species
CUUCCCCCCGCCGGGUCCCCAAAGGCAGCAGCGCGGCCCGCUGACACGACCCGAAAACCGUCUUGGGGCAAUCGCCAGAGCCAGUCAAGUUUGGCGUUUCCCUAACUACCGCCUCGGAGGCCGGGCCCAACUUUGCACGCGCAUCUCCAACUUUUCGAAAAAAACGCGAGUGAGCAGGAAGGGAGCUGCUGCGCUCCGGCUGCCGGCGUGAGCUGGCAAGGAGCUGAGGCAACACGGCGCUGAUGUUUCCAGCCGCAGCGCUUACGGACUGCUGCGCUGUCUCCAAAGCCCCUCGAUCGGCUGCCUUUGAACAAAGAAUUUUGUCGUCUUCUUUUCCUCAUUGCACUUCCUCCUCUAAAGCAAACACCUGCAAACAGCACCUUUUGCACGUGAAGCCCAGCGGGUUCACACUCAUGGAGGAAGCAGAUGAAUCCCGGGUGAGUGCAAGAGGAGCAGACGACACAUGAAGGACAAGGUCCUAAAUUGUCCUUCUGGAGCAGACAGAAGCCCCAAGGAGCUUGCCCUUCCUCCUCCCAGCUCUGCUCCCCCGUUCAGAGGGCAGACGCUUCGCGAGCAGGCAGAAAAGCAAAGGUGACACCUUCAGGAAAUAUCAGGAAGGGCACAUAAUUACCAGUGUCCUACCCAGCCCUCUGACUUUCAGCAACUUUGUGAACAGCGUUCAGCAUCUAUCAUGUUGCCCUUUAGUAUACUCAGGAUUCUGCCUGACUGUGUCGGAAAACUUCGGGUGGGUGAGACGGUAAUGUGGUACUCGUUUCAGACGCACCAUCCCUUUUUAUAGGCACGCAGAGCAGGACGUGAUUAGACAUGAUAUUUUACUAUAACAUGAGAUCAUCAGGUUUAUCAGGAGGCAGGAUCAAUGUAGAUAUUUGUCUGAGAAAAGUUUUUCUCUGCAAUGUACUUAUUAACAAUUUAUUAUAUAGAUUUUACAAAAUUUUCGUAAACGAGAAAAGUUUUCACUGAUAUUAAGUACUUUUUCUACUGGUGCUGCAAACCUUCUUUAUUUUUACUGGGAAAGAAUAUAUCUGAGCUAGUUAUUUAGCAUACAAAGAAGUACAGUCUUUGUGAUUUUUGUUUUGAUUUUUAUGAAAACUCUCUUAAUUUUAACGUCUAAAAUUAAUUGCUCCACACUUCUCUAGGCAGUAUAACAUGUUGCAGGCAAGACCUCAAAUAUGCAGCAACUCCUCUUUCCUAAGCUAGUUCGGGGACAGCAUAUAAAAGGAGCUAAAAGCCUUGGCUAGUUUUGUCUUGGGACUCAGCUUUAGAGUGAAAGUACUUUUAUGGAAUGAGGUAAUAGGAAAAACUAAUUCUUGGAUUAGGAAAAGGGAAAAUAUCAUGAGGAACUGUCAGAAAGAAGAUUGUUUUCUGAUUUAACUGUUGCAGAUUUAUCUUGAAUGUGCAGGGCAUGGAAGAUACUACAGAAAAUCCAUUACUUUGGCAGGAGGUCAA